CUACUUAAGCAUAUUCUCUGCAUCUGUAUUUAUUUAAAAAUGCUUUUGCAACCUGACACUGUUCAGCUUUUUUAUCUUUUACCAGUAUUUGGGGACUUAUUGGGGAUUCCUUUGAUAAUUUCAGGAAGAAAGAAGUGGAAUGGAAGGAGCCAGUAACUGUCCCAGGUCAGAAAACGCCUCUGAAAAGGAUCUACAUUACACCCAAAGUUCAUUGGAUAACUGCACCCUCAACAAUCAGGAGACAAUAAGUGGUGUAGACAGAGCUAAUAUCUUCCCCAAAUCAGAUGGUACCUCUGAAGACAUUCAGCAUUCCACAGACUGUUCACAGGUUGAGACUUUCCACAUUCAGGAGACAAUAAGUGGUACGAACCAAGCCAGUAACUGCCCCAAAUCAGAUGGUGCCUCUGAAGACAAUCAGCAUUGCACAGACAGUUCACAGCAUGACAGUAUCUUCCACAUUCAGGAGACAAUAAAGGGUAUGAACCAAGCCAGUAACUGCCCCAAAUCAGAUGGUGCCUCUGAAGACAAUCAGCAUUGCACAGACAGUCCACAGC
ensembl:lncRNA